rnacentral:rRNA from 1 species
AGAACGAACGCUGGCGGCAGGCUUAACACAUGCAAGUCGAACGCUCCGCAAGGGGAGUGGCAGACGGGUGAGUAACGCGUGGGAACAUACCCCUCGGUUCGGAAUAACUCAGGGAAACUUGAGCUAAUACCGGAUGCGGUCGAGAGGCGAAAGAUUUAUCGCCGAGGGAUUGGCCCGCGUCCGAUUAGCUAGUUGGUGAGGUAAUGGCUCACCAAGGCGACGAUCGGUAGCUGGUCUGAGAGGAUGAUCAGCCACAUUGGGACUGAGACACGGCCCAAACUCCUACGGGAGGCAGCAGUGGGGAAUAUUGGACAAUGGGCGAAAGCCUGAUCCAGCCAUGCCGCGUGAGUGAUGACGGCCUUAGGGUUGUAAAGCUCUUUCGUCAGGGACGAUAAUGACGGUACCUGAAGAAGAAGCCCGGCUAACUUCGUGCCAGCAGCCGC